AGCACAGCCUAUGAAUCCCUCCUCUUAUGGCAAAGACGAAACACUUCCAUCCGGACCCCUCAAGCUGGGACUCAGCUCCACACAUCAUCAAGUUGUCACUGGACACUUGAGUUAAGUACUUUUACCUUCUUAAAUAUACAAUUCAAUUUUCAUGAAUAGUGAGAUUUGUCACAAUAUCCCAUUCAUAUCCCGUUGAGCAGAUUGAGUACCUCGCAUGACAUGUUAAUUGCUUCGAUUUUUGACAGCUAAAAAAUCACACAGUGGCAUAUGCUUUCAAAGGAGUACUUGCGAUUCAAAAAUAUCCAAUUUAUAUUCUUUUUUAUUAGCAUUGUAUAAAAAUAUCACGAGCAAGCCUUCCCCUUAACUUUCUCAAUUGUGAUCAACAAAGGUUAACGUUAGGGGGGAAAAAUGAGGUUUCCAUACAUAGCAGUUUCCUGCUGGUGAAGAAGGAGUGACUCUCAAUUCAUCCCCUCUGUUGUGGUGAGAACUGGAAGGUUAUGAAUGAAUUCCUUGUGCUCCUGUUAGCCAAGGACUACUUAAAUAUUUCAUUUUGGAAAAAAAAAAAGUUCUCACCAAGAAUAACUGAAGCUUGAGUUCCAGAAGGUACUCCAUCAAUAACUGUAAAAAUAUAAUGUAAUCAGAACAAAUGGCAGCUCCCAGGUCAACCAUCCAAUAGUGCUGAUUUUAUUUUUUUUAUUCUGUAAUUUUUAUUGACACAAAGGAUAAAAAUCAGUAGGUACAGGGGGACAGCUGAGCUGGUUUGUUUCCAUCUCUUAUCUCUGACACAGAGAGCUUCUCGCUGGAAGAAACCACUCCGCCCAGUGCGCAGUGAGAAUAGAAUGCUGGACCUCUCACCUACCAGGCAACCCUGGUUGGUUCUCUGGCUGCUCCCUGGGCGGGGCCCCUCUCAACACAGACAGAAACCAGUUGGUUUCUGGUUGGGAGGCUCCCAGUAGCUGGGGGGAGGGAGAGUGGGCAGAAAACUCAGGACAGGAACACCCAACUGUUCUGAGUGCUUUGGGCUUUGGUUCAGGUCUCAGUGAGACAAGGAAGGGGUCCCAGUGAGGUUGCCCAAAUGCUGUGUAGCUUGCCACACAGGCCUCCAGCUUCCUGCUCUCUUGCAGUAGGAGCAUAGAAGAUCAGGUUGCUGUACACAGCCCUGAGGAGUACCAUCAACUUCGCACCCGUUUUGAGGUGUUCCUUUCCUCGCCCCCAUCCACAGGCUCCUCCCUGGGGCCCUGCACACCGUGUCCUUCCUCUUUCUGGAAUGUAUAUGUGUGCCCCAGUCCCUAGACAGGACCCAAUUGGUGAUGUGAUGCCUCUCGCUGAGUGGUCAUCAGCAGGGAAUGAAGGAAAGCUGAAAGGGUCUGAUUGAAACAAAUAUACUGCAAGCGGGGAAAAAAGGUGACAGAUUUACGUUUUCAUGUCUUUUAAUUAAAAAAAAAAAUCUGAGGCAGUUUAUCAGUCACUUGUCCUGUUGCUGAGAUAAAAUUCUUCCCACAAAACCAACUUAAACUGCUAUCUGUCCAACGCCAGCAUCAGCCUGUCACCCAGUCACACUGCCUUGCUACUGAACAUUGUUCUAUGGUUAAAUUAUACAUAUACAUGUACAUAAUUUUAAAGCAACUUAAGAGACUUUGGCUCACAAUUGAGGGUGGGAUGUGACAGUGGCGGGAAUGCGAGGCCCUGGUCACAAGGCGCCCACACUUGGGAACAGCGAUAGAUGAACACUGAUGCUCAGCCCAAUUCCUCCUCUUUAUUCACCCAUGGGACUUGGUCUCCCAGUUAGGCUGGGUCUUUCUGCUUCAAUUAAUCUAAUCUAGACAACCCCUCGCAGGCACACCCAGGGUCUGUCUCCUGUUUGCCAUUUCUCGAGCCCUUUCUAUUUUUAAUAAAAUCUUAACUCUGCUUCUCACUGACUAGCCCUGAAAUCCUUUUGUGUUUCAAAAACCGCAGACCUCAUUUUGCAGCACAGUUCCUAACAGAACCAGGGAAGUCUUCAGGCCGCUGAAGAUGAUAGCAAGUCCUUGUAGCAUCCAACGGGGUGACUAUCAGAAGCCACCAAAUCUCCUUGUGUCCAACACAAUCACAAAGCCCGUGAGGAUGGCCACCAGCAAAGUGGUGUCGACAUGCAAAACAUCAGAACCCUUAAUGAAAAUUUAAAGAUGUGAGUUAUGGGAAUAAACUGGUUACUCACACUCGAAAGAAAACAUCCAGAAAGAAUAGGCUCGCUGAGAAACAGAAAAGCAAAGCCCGCCUCUGACAUCACAAGCCUGGCUGAAAUGAGAGCUAACAAUCAGAAAUGAUCAGGAAACAACUCCAACCACAGUGAGCAAGAUAAAGCGAGGUGACCCCUGUGAAACGUCAUUGGAGCCCUCCAAAGGGUCCACAACCCACAGGUUGAGGACCACUGUUCUAGAGGAAGCAACUGGAAAGAAGGACUCUUGGGAACAUGAGAGCAUGGAGCCUUGCAAAGGGGGUUGUUACAUAGCAAAGAAUAACUAAGACAUGCCUGUCCUAGCCUGCUUCUUUGGUUGCUCCAAUAAAAUUUAGACCAGAACU
rnacentral:lncRNA from 1 species